rnacentral:rRNA from 1 species
GAGUUUGAUCAUGGCUCAGGAUGAACGCUGGCGGUAUGCCUUAUACAUGCAAGUCGUACGAGAGUUUUUAACUCAAGUGGCGGACGGGUGAGUAACACGUAAGAAUUUGCCUUUAGGAGGAGGAUAACAACUGGAAACGGUUGCUAAUACCCCAUAUGCUUUCGAGUGAAAUGGUUUUUCCGCCUAAAGAGAAGCUUGCGGCUGAUUAGCUUGUUGGUGAGGUAAUAGCUCACCAAGGCGACGAUCAGUAUCUGGUUUGAGAGGACGAUCAGACACACUGGAACUGAGACACGGUCCAGACUCCUACGGGAGGCAGCAGGAGGGAAUUUUCCGCAAUGGGCGAAAGCCUGACGGAGCAAUACCGCGUGAGGGAUGACGGCCUAUGGGUUGUAAACC